GGGGAUGCGUGGUUUCGACAGGGGAUCAGCUUGGCAGGAUUGCAGGCCGAGUUCGCCGCCCACUCGCUAAUCAGACGGCAAAACAUCAACUGCCGACGAACCAGUCGCACUGGCUGCCUAAAAGCGUAGCCACGCCCCGAUAGCCCACUCCGGCGGCUACCGGAAGCGUCAUACAGCCGGGGUGCAGUGGCUCUGAUGCCGCUGCGAGCCACUCAAGACUUCGCGGCAGGUGGCGGGACGGCCCGCCGGUGGGCCCGGCCCAGUCACCCAACCAAACGCCGGCUAAGCCUGUAGUACAUCCGCGCUGAGCGUCUUCUGGACGGGGAGUUCGACUCUCCCCCAUCUCCACCA
rnacentral:tmRNA from 1 species